UCUGCAGGAAGAUAGUUUCUUCUUUCAGAGCCUAUUAGCACAUUCAACACAAUAAAGACGAUAUGGGAGGGAAAGGACAACAAGAGAAAAAUGGUAGGGGUAAACAAAACAAAGCAACACACAACCACUUUUCCAGCAGUUCUGAGAAACACUUACUAAUCUUAUCUUUUGUAGAAAAAUUCUGCUCUGUUUCAGGCAUUCCUGAAUGUACUUAGCAUUGCUCUUGAGCAUGCAAAACAUUCCUCAUGAUUGCCUUCACAUCCCAGCAAUCCACAGAAGAUCUUACACAUUUAUUACACAAAAUCCUUGAAAUCUAAUGGAUCUUAAGCUGCACACGGGUUCUGAGUGUGCCCAGAGCUCCCUGCCACCCUCCCUCCUGCCUUUUGCUGAGCUAAUCCGCAGCUCUGCCGGCUAAGGGGACUUACCAAGGGCUUUUCGAUGGGAGGAAGCAGUGAGGAGCUCGCACACACUGGAAUAGCUGCUACCCAGUAAUGAAGCAGGAACUGAGAAGUCUCACUCUUUCAGCAGCUAUUCAGACUUUCCCUGGGAACAGAGAAAAGAAUGGACAUAUUAGAAGGAUCAGACAGCUGGAUAAUGGUAUCACAAAUCUGCAUCUGCAAAGCAGUCAAGCAACUGGUGAGACAUUUGGCUAACCUGCUCAGAGAAAAUGGCCUUAAAACAGCCCUGGAUGCAUCCAGCAGAGCCUGCUCUUCCCUGCUGAGGAACA